rnacentral:rRNA from 1 species
AGUGAACGCUGGCGGUAGGCCUAACACAUGCAAGUCGAACGGCAGCACAGAGGAGCUUGCUCCUUGGGUGGCGAGUGGCGGACGGGUGAGGAAUACAUCGGAAUCUACUCUGUCGUGGGGGAUAACGUAGGGAAACUUACGCUCAUACCGCAUACGACCUACGGGUGAAAGCAGGGGAUCUUCGGACCUUGCGCGAGUUAAUGCGCCGAUGUCGGAUUAGCUAGUUGGCGGGGUAAAGGCCCACCAAGGCGACGAUCCGUAGCUGGUCUGAGAGGAUGAUCAGCCACACUGGAACUGAGACACGGUCCAGACUCCUACGGGAGGCAGCAGUGGGGAAUAUUGGACAAUGGGCGCAAGCCUGAUCCAGCCAUACCGCGUGGGUGAAGAAGGCCUUCGAGUUGUAAAGCCCUUUUGUUGGGAAAGAAAUCCAUCUGGUUAAUACCCGGGUGGGAUGACGGUACCCAAAGAAUAAGCACCGGCUAACUUCGUGCCAGCAGCCGCCGUAA